rnacentral:rRNA from 1 species
UGGCGGCGUGCUUAACACAUGCAAGUCGAACGGGAUCCAUCAAGCUUGCUUGGUGGUGAGAGUGGCGAACGGGUGAGUAAUGCGUGACCGACCUGCCCCAUGCUCCGGAAUAGCUCCUGGAAACGGGUGGUAAUGCCGGAUGUUCCACAUGAUCGCAUGUGAUUGUGGGAAAGAUUCUAUCGGCGUGGGAUGGGGUCGCGUCCUAUCAGCUUGUUGGUGAGGUAACGGCUCACCAAGGCUUCGACGGGUAGCCGGCCUGAGAGGGCGACCGGCCACAUUGGGACUGAGAUACGGCCCAGACUCCUACGGGAGGCAGCAGUGGGGAAUAUUGCACAAUGGGCGCAAGCCUGAUGCAGCGACGCCGCGUGAGGGAUGGAGGCCUUCGGGUUGUAAACCUCUUUUGUUUGGGAGCAAGCCUUCGGGUGAGUGUACCUUUCGAAUAAGCGCCGGCUAACUACGUGCCAGCAGCCGCGGUAAUACGUAGGGCGCAAGCGUUAUCCGGAUUUAUUGGGCGUAAAGGGCUCGUAGGCGGCUCGUCGCGUCCGGUGUGAAAGUCCAUCGCUUAACGGUGGAUCUGCGCCGGGUACGGGCGGGCUGGAGUGCGGUAGGGGAGACUGGAAUUCCCGGUGUAACGGUGGAAUGUGUAGAUAUCGGGAAGAACACCGAUGGCGAAGGCAGGUCUCUGGGCCGUCACUGACGCUGAGGAGCGAAAGCGUGGGGAGCGAACAGGAUUAGAUACCCUGGUAGUCCACGCCGUAAACGGUGGACGCUGGAUGUGGGGCACGUUCCACGUGUUCCGUGUCGGAGCUAACGCGUUAAGCGUCCCGCCUGGGGAGUACGGCCGCAAGGCUAAAACUCAAAGAAAUUGACGGGGGCCCGCACAAGCGGCGGAGCAUGCGGAUUAAUUCGAUGCAACGCGAAGAACCUUACCUGGGCUUGACAUGUUCCCGACGACGCCAGAGAUGGCGUUUCCCUUCGGGGCGGGUUCACAGGUGGUGCAUGGUCGUCGUCAGCUCGUGUCGUGAGAUGUUGGGUUAAGUCCCGCAACGAGCGCAACCCUCGCCCCGUGUUGCCAGCACGUUAUGGUGGGAACUCACGGGGGACCGCCGGGGUUAACUCGGAGGAAGGUGGGGAUGACGUCAGAUCAUCAUGCCCCUUACGUCCAGGGCUUCACGCAUGCUACA